UACGUAGGGUGCGAGCGUUGUCCGGAAUUAUUGGGCGUAAAGAGCUCGUAGGCGGUGUGUCGCGUCGGCCGUGAAAACCUGGGGCUUAACUCUGGGCGUGCGGUCGAUACGGGCAUCACUUGAGUUCGGCAGGGGAGACUGGAAUUCCUGGUGUAGCGGUGAAAUGCGCAGAUAUCAGGAGGAACACCGGUGGCGAAGGCGGGUCUCUGGGCCGAUACUGACGCUGAUGCACGAAAGCUAGGGGAGCAAACAGG
rnacentral:rRNA from 1 species